rnacentral:lncRNA from 1 species
AAAAACUCUUUUAGCAGCCCAAGAUCACAUGCGUUUAAUUACAAAAACUCCAACCAAAGCAAUGAUAUGAAAACGCUGAAUCUUUGUAUGAGUGAUUGUUAUUGGUCUCGGAAUCAAGGAAUAAAAUUUGCAGGGAAAACGAGGGAAUUUGCAAGAAAGUUAUCAACUUUUUGUGUGUUAAGAUUUGUGAGUUUUGAAUUGAAAGAACAAAAAGAAUCACAAGAAAUGGCCAAAUGGAAAUUUUCAAAAAG